rnacentral:rRNA from 1 species
GUCGUCAGUUCGUACUGUGAAGCAUCCUGUUAAGUCAGGCAACGAGCGAGACCCACGUCCACAGUUGCCAGCAUACCCUCCGGGGUGAUGGGUACACUGUGGAGACCGCCGCUGCUAAAGCGGAGGAAGGAGUGGGCAACGGUAGGUCAGUAUGCCCCGAAUCUCCCGGGCUACACGCGGGCUACAAUGGUUGGUACAAUGGGCAUCUACCCCGAAAGGGGAAGGAAAAUCUCUUAAAGCCAAUCGUAGUUCGGAUUGAGGGCUGCAACUCGCCCUCAUGAAGCUGGAAUCCGUAGUAAUCGCGUUUCAACAGAACGCGGUGAAUACGUCCCUGCUCCUU